rnacentral:misc_RNA from 1 species
GCUUUUCAGAGGGCGCUGAGCACGUGGGCCAAUUGGGUUGAUGUGAACAUCGACAGGUCCCGGACUCGGGUGUUUUUCCAGUCCAUUUCCCCGACCCAUUACAACCCUAGCGAGUGGAAUGGCGCGGUAUCAAAGAACUGCUACGGCGAGACUUCGCCGGUGACUGGCCGGAACUACACGGGUACCUAUCCCGACCAAAUGCGGAUCCUGCAAGCCGUGGUGAAGUCGAUGCGGAGCCCCGCCUACAUGUUGGAUAUCACCACCUUGUCGGAGCUCCGAAAGGACGGCCACCCCUCCAUCUACAGCGGCGAUCUCACCCCCGAUCAGAGGUCGAACCCCGACCGGUCAGCCGAUUGCAGUCAUUGGUGCCUGCCCGGGGUCCCAGAUACUUGGAACCAGCUCUUCUAUGCUGCUCUUGUCUCCUGACAACGAAAGAGUUGUCUUGUGUAUCAGGAUUUAUGCUCCUCUUGUUUCAUGGCAAAGAAAGAGUGGCCUUGUGUAUAUGGG